AUUGCUUCUCGGCCUUUUGGCUAAGAUCAAAUGUAGUAUAUGUUCUUAUCAGAAAUGGAGAGAGAAAGAAAGACACUUG
rnacentral:snRNA from 1 species